rnacentral:rRNA from 1 species
CCUAAUACAUGCAAGUCGGACGAGGAUGUUUCCCCUUCCUAGUGGCGAACGGGUGAGUAACACGUAGGGAACCUGCCCCUAAGACGAGGAUAACUACUGGAAACGGUAGCUAAUACUGGAUAGGAUAAGUUGACGCAUGUUGGCUUAUUUAAAGGUGCCUAUAAAGCACCGCUUAGGGAUGGCCCUGCGGCGCAUUAGCUAGUUGGUGGGGUAACGGCCUACCAAGGCGACGAUGCGUAGCUGUGCUGAGAGGCAGAACAGCCACACUGGGACUGAGACACGGCCCAGACUCCUACGGGAGGCAGCAGUAGGGAAUUUUCGGCAAUGGGGGGAACCCUGACCGAGCGAUGCCGCGUGAGUGAUGAAGGUCUUCGGACUGUAAAACUCUGUUAUUAGGGAAGAAUACUAUAGGGAGGAAAUGCCUUAUAGAUGACGGUACCUAAUGAGGAAGCCCCGGCCAACUAUGUGCCAGCAGCCGCGGUAAUACAUAGGGGGCGAGCGUUAUCCGGAAUUACUGGGCGUAAAGGGUGCGUAGGCGGUUUCUUAAGUCUAGUGUGAAAGCCCACGGCUUAACCGUGGAGGGUCAUUAGAAACUGGGAGACUUGAGUACAGCAGAGGUAAGUGGAAUUUCUAGUGGAGCGGUGAAAUGCGUAGAUAUUAGAAGGAACACCAGUGGCGAAGGCGGCUUACUGGGCUGGAACUGACGCUGAGGCACGAAAGCGUGGGGAGCAAACAGGAUUAGAUACCCUGGUAGUCCACGCCGUAAACGAUGAGCACUAAGUAUCGGGUGAGAACUCGGUGCUGUAGUUAACGCAUUAAGUGCUCCGCCUGGGGAGUACGGUCGCAAGACUGAAACUCAAAGGAAUUGACGGGAACUCGCACAAGCGGUGGAGCAUGCGGUUUAAUUCGAUGCAACCCGAAAAACCUUACCAGGUCUUGACAUCCCGCUGACAGGUCUAGAGAUAGACCCUUCCUUCGGGACAGUGGAGACAGGUGGUGCAUGGUUGUCGUCAGCUCGUGUCGUGAGAUGUUGGGUUAAGUCCCGCAACGAGCGCAACCCUCGUCACUAGUUGCUAACAUUAAGUUGAGGACUCUAGUGAGACUGCCGAUGACAAAUCGGAUGAAGGUGAGGAUGACGUCAAAUCAUCAUGCCCCUUAUGACCUGGGCUACACGCGUGCUACAAUGGCCAGUACAAAGAGUUGCGAAGCCGUGAGGUGGAGCUAAUCUCAAAAAGCUGGUCUCAGUUCGGAUUGUAGUCUGCAACUCGACUACAUGAAGGCGGAAUCGCUAGUAAUCGUGAAUCAGCAUGUCACGGUGAAUACGUUCUCGAGUUUUGUACACACCGCCCGUCACACCAUGAGAGUUUGUAAUACCCGAAACCGGUGGCCUAACCCGCAAGGGAGGGAGCCGUCUAAGGUAGGACAGA